rnacentral:lncRNA from 1 species
GCUUGCCUGCACACGCGGCUACGCGUUAUUGGUCUGAAGGGGCCAACAACAAAAAAGUAUGUAUCCAGUAGCCAGUAACACGUCGAGAUGAAUCAUGAAUGGGUUGAACUCAAGGACACACAAACCUAGCUGAUUGCUUCAUGCUAAACGAACUUUAGGCAUGCAACGUUCAUGAAUGGCCAUUUACAUAAAGCAUAAUAAAAGCAUGAACAACUCAUUUGUUGGGCCUAUAACUUGAGCUGGUGUCCAGCCUCAGUCCAUGAAUAAGCUUCGUUCAUGUAGUCAUAUAGGAAAUGGCAUGUUUCAUCCGUGUCAUAUAUGAGUUGUGAUAUCCCACAAAAGAAAACGGAUAUAGGUUAGGAUAUUAGAGGAGAACUGAUAUGUUACACCCCCUCCACUCAUACAACCCUAAGUCUACGACUCCUUUGUGUCUUCGUCACCGCCUAGGCCGGCCCAAGAACCGACAAAAAGAGGGUCCAUUCUGCUCAUGAUAAACUCGUCAUUGUCCAUGAAGUGUGGCAUGGGGCCAUAGAAGAAUUUGCUAUCGUCGAGCCAAGAAGUCAAGGACAACACACCCCUUUUGUGCACAGUAGUGACACGCUCCCUUGAUCAAGCUGAUAAUGUCAAAAGCGAAAGGAAGCUCCUUAGACGAGAUAUACAUGGUUUUUCCUGAGGAGCCACGAGGCAAUACUGACCUUCUCUGACCCGGGAGUGGGUACGUCGACCCAUUACUAACUUCUUCGAUUCUGAGGUCUUCGACCAAGUCUUCAAGCAUUCCAUAGCACCCUCGGAUGGCACAGACUCUGAGACCGUGUACCUGUUGGCCAUGCGCGGCUAGGAGACAUGGUGGUGGGUGAACUCCUAGCGGGAGCUAUUGAGGUUCCUUGAUUUGAGUUGGUUGCAACACUUGGACUUUUGUUGGAAUAACAUUUUUAUGCAAUUAAUUUUACAAAAAAUAAAAUAAUUCUCUAUGUAAUUAGGGCAACGCAAACUCAACCCGCCCGUUUAUGUUUCUGCUGCUUGGUGUAACCGGCUAUAAGAGCAAUCCCAACGGAAGUACCCAUUUCGUCCGACCACGUCCGCAUAGGUUGGCGCAGACAAAAGUGAUGACCCAACACGAAGACCCAUUUUCAUUUUUGCGUCCGGUUUUGUCCACGCGGAUGUUGGAAUUAUGCCCUAGAGGCAAUAAUAAAUAUAGUUAUUAUUAUAAUUCCUGUAUCAAGAUAAUCGUUUAUUAUCCANN